CAUCAUGUGCGGCUUAACACCAUAUUUUUUAGGCAAAAUUUGAUAUAUUAACUCAAAACUCAUAUAUGAGUCAAUUUUUAAGUGAGGCUCUAAUACCCUAGCUAUUAAUUUGGAGUUUGCAUUAUUAUUUUUUAUAGGCUUCACAUAUGUAUGAUGCUCCUAUAAAAUUUUUAUCAUGAAGGUCCUACUAUCAUGUAUAAUGGAUGCAUAAAUUCUUCCGGUACAUCCUU
rnacentral:lncRNA from 1 species